rnacentral:lncRNA from 1 species
UCUCUCCCACCGCUGCCCCCUCCCAUCCCCUUCCUCCACUCAUCCGACGACGUGGACUGGGAUUACAGGUUCACUGGCAUUUUCAGUGUACUGACAUUGUCAUUGUGGUUUCAAUAGAAAUGACCUUUUUCCUAAUUAGUAACAAAGAUCAAAGUUAAUAUAUUUGUGAUAUUUUUGUGUAAUAUUAUUGUUUGCAAUGAGACUACUCGGGAAUACAGGGUACUGUAUUUUUUUAUAACUGAAGAGGGAGUAUAAAUCGUCCAGUGAGUACAGUAUAGAUUGAUUAUAAACAUGAUAACCUACUGUGAUAUUUUAGCAGGAACAAUAGUCGUGAUGGUCUGCAAGCUAUCAUUAUUGUCAUAUGUGAUAUUUGAUCUUAGUGGUGCCAUUUUUGUUCCCCUUAUAAAAGUUGUGGUGUGCCGAUUGACAGUUUAAUAGUUGUUUCGCUUGGCAGGCCAGAAGGUGGUUUACAAUAUUUUCAAAAAAGAUGCUGAAGCUGAUUCAAGAAAUGCUACUAAGGCUGGUGAUCAAAAUCCUGCACCACCAAAGCAAGGUUUCAUCCAUGUGAGGUCAAGAAGGGGUCAAGCAACUGACAGCCAUAGCCUUGCAGAAAGGGUCAGUUCAAUGCACAAUUUUCAGUUUUGACUAUUCUAAAUGUAUUCUUUUUGAAUUUGUGUAUUCUUAUACACCCCAUGGAUACACAUUCACACUCCGCAUUACAGAAGCUACAAAUCUGGUCGCUAAAAGUCUACUUUUUUUAACGGGCACGGCGUGAGAAAAUAACCAAGCGGAUGAAAAUUCUCCAAGACCCUGUCCCUGGAUGUAAUAAAGGUGCAUAUUAAUCUCAACAAGAAUUCUAUAUUUUUUAUGUUUACAUUUUGUCCCACCAAUGUCCAGAUAUGAUUGAAAAGUAAGGAUUAUAAAAUUCAAAUAAUGGAGAAAUAAGAGACUAUACAGAGACCUCCACAUAUGAUAAAUAAUAUAAAGAUGUAGUUUCGAUAUUGUGUGGUGGUCCAGUAUCGCACCCUUUGGAAAAAAAAUCAGGAAGGUAUUUGGGUCCAAUCUAUAAUAUCAAUCCAGUGUGGUAUAUCAUUGCUGCUUUCACCACAUGUACCAUUAAUCCAGUGUGGUAUAUAAUUGCUGCUUUGCCCAUCUGUACCAUCAAUUACGAAGAACCAACGGCCACAUUUCAUUGUUGAUUAACAGUGACUAAUUUAACUUGAGAUGCAAAUAACCCAUUGGUGUAACUGGAGUUCUAAUACCAAAGAUAGUCUCCGGUCAUGAUCAAGCAACCAGAGUUAUUCUGCUUAAGGGAAAUAAAUAACAUAGUAAAAAUAAAUAAAUAACAAUGCCUGUGCCUGCUUUGGGGCCGCAUCAUAAAUAUUUCUCUAAUGUAGAACACUCCAGUGGAGUCUAGUUUUACAACAACAGAGUGACCCAGGCAGUGUGGAAUAUUUGUGCAGGAAUACAAAGCCGAGUUUAGAUGUAGUAGAUGAUUGAUUAGAAAACAACAACAGAAUAAUAUACAUAAGCAAACCAGCAAAACAAAAAAUAAUGUCACAUACAGCAAAAUUUGGCAACUUGCAAAGUCUCAAAUUCGAGGCAAUAUUAUUAUUACUUGACUUGUAGCAUAAACAUAAUAAAGUUCAAUUGGUAACUUUAAAAGAUAGAGAUCUGUACAAGAACACCGAAGAGUACCAAAUUAUAUGUAGCAUAAGAGUAAAUCCCUGUCAUAUCUAAGAGCGGACUUCAACCUGUAAGGACUUCCUUAUAGACGAUGUUCUUCAUCGAGGUCUGUAAGGACAAGGCAGGUCUUUUUCGCUUCUUUGAUUUAUUGCUUCGCUUCUGGCCAUUCUCCUUCUCCUUCUCCUUCUCAAUGAGGAUCUUUAUGCUUCUCUUCGCAGUGGCUCGAGACAAUGCGACAUAGAGUUGACCAUGAGAGAACACCAGAUUGGGUAAGUACACACCAACGAUCGGAAUCGUCUAUCCUUGAGCCUUGUUAAUCGUCAUAGCAAAGCUAAGCCUUACAGGAAAUUGCUUCCUCUGGAACUUGAAUGGAAACAUCUCAUUGUGAGACGGGCAUAGGGGUAUUCGAGGAAGGAAAACCCUCCUACCCGCGUGUUGUCCAAUCACGAUUUCUGCGUCGAUGGUGUUCCUCUAGAAACCUCGCACCACAAGCCUCGUCCCAUUACACAGACCAUUAGCCUGAUCAAUGUUCCUCAGAACUAUGACAGGGCAGUUGUGCUUCAGUUUGAGUGCAUGCGGAGGCAGACCGUUGGGAGUCAAUCCAUUAAGGAACUCGGGAGCGUAGUAGCCAUAUGGGUCGUCCUCCGCACUGUCAAAGGUAUGGUAGAUUACUUCUUCUCCCUGAAAAUGUUCUACCAUGCGUAUGUUUAUCUUGUCGACGUUGUCGUUAGUGGUGGAGAGGAUUGCGCGAGAAGUCAUGUAAUUUGGAUCGGACAUGUUGUCAUAUAGUCUCGAAAACACAUGGUCAAUCAGCUUCUCCAGGUCGUCACCCUCGCUUGUAGACGGCACAUAAAUAUCUUUAGGGAGUCGUAUGUUUCCUUGAUCGUCAACUUCCUCGGUGCCAUUGCCUACCCUUAGCAAGUAAUCCGCAAACUAGGUGUCAUUAUGAGCCCUCAUGUUGCUGACGAGCCUUAGCUGGCGCAUACCAUUCCAGAGAUGUGAACUUCGGAGGGUUGCAUCAAUUAUCUGACCCCGGGAUCCCCUCCUGACGACCGGAAGCACCUGCCUGAAGUCCCCGCCAAACACAACAGUUUACCUUCAAAGGGUCGGUCCCGUCUUCCCAUGACGUUGCGCAUGCUGUUGUCCACUGCCUCGACCGCAUGUCGCUUAGUCAUGGUGGCCUCGUCCCAUAGUAUCAAUGAGGCCAUCCUCAGUAGCUUGGCGGUACCACUCUGCUUCGUGAAGGUGCAUGAGGCGCCGUCGUCGCAGCUCAAUGGGAUCUUGAACCUGGAGUGGGCAGUCCUACCUCCAGGCAUGAUAGAAGCGGCGACGCCUGACGUUGCGGUAGCGAUAGUGAUGUUUCCCUCGCUUCGAACCUUGGCGAGUAGCGCCCUGUACAUGAAGGUCUUCCCUAUACCUCCCAGGCCAUCAACAAAGAACACCCCCCGUCACCACGUUCAACUGCAGCUAGUAUCUCGUCGUAUGCAGCCCUCUGCUCCAAGUUUAGCAACGAUGCAAAUUUAGUGUCGUUGAUGUCAAAAUCGACGGUGGAUUCCUCGAUCACCUCUCUGGCCUCGCCCUCGAUUGGGUCGAACGCAUCAUCAAUGCUUGGAAGAGCAAAAAUCAACUAUGUCUUUGCCCAUAGACUUCAACAUACCCCUAAUGUCAAGUAACACCAUCUGCUCCACCUCAACCGGGCACGUGUGUGAUCGGCGAUAGUCAUCAGACAAAGGCUCAAAGUGCCUUUCCCAUAAACCACGCACGUCGCUCGGCUCACAGUGCACCAAAAUUGUUGCGAAGAGCCUCCUGAGCGAACAUGGCAUCGCCCACUGCUCUGCCUCGGUAAGACAGUCGUCGAGCGUGUUAUCUGCCUCAAUGAGUCCCAACCUUUCGGCAGCCUCUCUAAAUCUCCCGCAUAGCCUACCGUCCAUGGUGAGAAGGUCCUCAUAGCAUGUCUUGCCAGCAACAUGGUUUAGCAGCACAUGCAAAUAGUAUCGCUCCCCCUCGGCAGGAUUGGCAGACACAAUUCGACCUAUCUGAUAACGCUCCACCCGCUCUUUCCAAUACUUCUUACCCUUCUGCCAUGUGAACCUUCCAGGAAAAUCCUUGUACAAUAUAUUCCUAGCCCACGGGUGGUUUUGGUUAGCUUUGAAAUACUCUGUCAACAUGGAUUUGGAAGCAUUGUCAGAGGCGACUAUGUCAGUCAAGUGACCUUGCUCAUUGAAUGCCACCCUGUGCAUAUUCGGGAGAUGAAGAGGCAACUGUAGGACAGGUGGGUCAUUGGCACACAAGGCAAAGCGAAAUAUCCUCCACAUCACCUUUGGAGGAGUAACCCACCUCGCGUCUACGUAUCUUUUGAUCUCAUCAAUGUUACCAUCGGCACCAGGCUGGUCGAUGCUGAAAGAAGCCCUAUCAUGGCCCUUGUAUAUGUACUUGUAAAGGUAUUUGACGGCCUUUAUGCUGGAGCAAACCUCAACGUUGAUGUGGCAAUUGAACAUCCGCAGAAGGUAAGGGUUAUACGGCCCAACCCAUUUGUUGUCCAAAAAUUUACCCCGGACCUUAUCCUGCCGACCAUCAUCUCGACGGCGAUAAACUGGGUAUGAGUCCUUGCCAUGUGCUGUGUUUUCAUUGAACUGCCGCGGGUAUCUGCACUUGCACUCAUUCUGUUGCAUGCACACAUUUUUGGGGUUGAGAGCACCGCAUGGUCCGUGCAUCAUAUGUUUCACCACCAAGGCGUGGAGUUCAGGAUACUUCUGCUUGUCUGGGAGCUCGGCAGAAAUGAGUCGGUCGUACUGCUCCGGAACGACAAGCUUAUAGGCAGAAUCCAUGAUCAACAAAAAGUGUGCGUGGGGGAGGCCCCUCUUCUGGAACUCAACUACGUAUACAUGUGCGACAACAACACCCAGGAUAAUCUUCUUGAACAACAUCUCUUUCAUAGCCUCUAGCUUGCCAUGGAACACACGAGCCACAAGAUCAGGUCAGUCUUGCGUUGUCUGACCAGGAAACAACUCAUUCAUUAUCUCUUCCCAGUUAGGGUUGCAGGUCAUGGUCAAGAAGAUGUCAGGCUUCCCGUAGGUAUGGACAAUUGCCAUGGCAUCCAUAUGUCUCCGUUUCAUGUCGCGGUCGCCACCUGGGUACGUUCCAGGGAGCACAAUCCUUACUCCAACAGCGCUUGCUCGGGUCUCCCCAGAUGUAAUUGCAACAACAACUCCCUUAUAUAGGUCGGCACGGAUCUUUGUUUGGUUCUUCCUAUACCAUUUCAACCAGAACUCUCAAUCUUGAUGUACAUGCCCACCCCCCAUUGUUGGAGCAAUCGUGCUCCACAGAGUAUGGGAUUGAAUAUACCAGGUCGUGUCUGCAGCAUGUAACAGUAGUAGUCUCUCACUGAGACGCAUAACCUGCUAUUCCCCUCUGCAUAUGGAUGAGUAUUCCGGACAUUAGGAUUCAUACGAGAACUAUACAAUUCAUCUAAACGACAGAAUACGCAUAAGGCUUACCUGCAUCCUCCUCCUCAUCAUCAUCAUCAUCAUUAUCACGUCUGCCUCUUGGUUGUUGCACAACCGGCCAAGGGACAUCACGUUUAGGUAGUUUUGGAUGCCAACCAAGCUCACCCCUUGGGAAGAAUAAUGGGUAAGAGAGCGAGUCAUAUGAGCCAGACGUCACAUGUAUACUGUGCCUCUGGUUGUCAUUCCCGCGAAAUGUAAUCCUCCGAUCGAAUCUCUUUGCUAGGUCAGUGCCCUCCACCCAAAUUGCAGUGACCUCCGAUGAUAGAGGUGUAUUAUACUUCCGUUGAUCUAGUCUCUGGUCCGUGUUGAGGUCUAUCCUGUAAUCGUCGAGGUUGUCCCUGUGGGCACCCAAACUCCUAAACUGUUGGGAGUACGGGUAUUCCUUGAGUAUGUCAACUAACUUCCUGACGACAUUCUGAUCUAAUUGCUUGGUGGCAGGCUGGCUAUGGGUUAGGCCUGGGUCGUUGUUGUAGAAGUACAACAGUAGAUGCUCUGGACGGGAUGUUGUUCCGAAGGAAUGAUUGUUGUGGUAGAUGGUGCCGUGCGCCUGGAAGGUGUACACCCCAGACUUCAUGUUUGUGUAGCUUUCAUGCAGGCUGACGCCGAGCGUUGUGAAGGAGAAGUGGCCGUUGAAGAAUCGUAUGUUCUCCCGAAAAUGCCUAGAGUACGCAUCCUAGCUAGACCAAAGCCUCAUUAGCUCCGUGAUGGGCUCCGGUUGCUUCAGCUUGAUCUGCCCAUUGCGAUAGCAGAAUCUCGAGGCCUCGUAGACAAACUUCUUGGCCUUGCAGUGGUCGCAGUUCGCGGCGUGCUUGAUGAUGUGUGUACCAUCGGGGAGGUUUGAGUACACAUUAUCCAAGGGAUCAUGGUCGACAUAGGUAUUGUGACUUGAGUCUUCCAAUACGUCGUGCUCCAUGUCAUCAGCAACCGAGCCUGCAAACAAUGUUUCGAAUUAAUGCGAUACUCCCAACGUGUGGAUCUUUCUCAAGCUGGUGUACAUACCUUCACCAGCAAACAGGUAAUACUCAUCAUCGAAGAGGUUGUCAGGGUUGGCAUUAUCAUUCAUGAGACCACUAAGGUAAGCAUCCAUGUCGUCUGCGCGGGUGCCGAAUCAAUAAAUGAGGGUUAAGUGUCAAGGGACGCAAGGAGAGUAAGGAUGGGAGUGUUACCUUCACUCCUGAUCGUGUACUCCGGUGCGUUAGAUGAGAUUGAGGCACCGUGUGCUUCAAGUAUGGUUGGUUGUCCCGUUGAGCUCAUUUUCGGUAUGAAGAUGGUCCUGGCGGUUGGGGUCUUCACCCUACUUGCAAAGCUUGCAUUACGACGAUUUAGCAGAGCCUUCCUCUCACCACAUGGCACCUGCGUACAUGAUUUUCGCUUGCCAAGUUUCUCCUGACGCUUCUUCGUCGCCAAACCUCCCUUGCAAGCUCGCUCUCUCGUCCUAAGAUGAGCUCUCGACUCAUGCUUCUCCUCGUCAGCUGCACUAUCCACUAUUGUUAGCGGAUCACUGGUUUGCUGGUUGACACUUUUUAGGUGAUCAUCGUUUUCGAUGAGGUGGCGAUCUACAGCACCGUCACCAAAUGUUCUACUUAGGUAUGCACGUGCAACAUUUUUGAAUU